UAUGUUUUAAGGAAGAUGGCGCCUCCUCUUUGAUGGAUGAUGUUUUGGUAUCCUAUGCAAUCAAGAAAAUUCAUCACUUCAAUAAUUAUCAAAAGAAGAGCAUACAUGUCCAUGCGAAUUUGAAGGUUCACCUUUUUAAAAUAUAAAGUGAACGCAGUUGUCUUACCGGUUCCACCUUUGCUUUCUUUGAAGCUGCACUCCCAGAUGUUUUCGCAUCAUCACCACCUGACUUCCUCUUUUGCUUGGAUUUGGAUGCAGGAGGUGUGCUGCGAGCAUGUCCUGAUGAAGGUGUUGGUUUAGCUGGGCUGUUAUCAACAGGUUCAUCUUUAGGUUGAUCAUUCUGCUUUGGAGCAAGCACUGGAGAUGACUCAUCAUCCUGCUGAAAGAAGGAAAGAAGGAAAUCUCCUAUCACAAAAAGUAGCAUGCUUUCCUUCGAACAAUACCCUUCCAAUACAUUGUGAAAAUAAAUAUUAAAGCUCCACGAGAAUAAAUUACAUCAUCAUCUUCAUCAUCCUCGUCUGCAUCUGACUCAUUUUGUCCAGAAGCACGCCCAAGCAGCUUCUUUAAUUCUUUUCCUGACUUGCUCAGACCACCUUCUUCUUCAUUCUCUUCAUCAUCCUGGAUGUAUCAUACUCGGAAUAUCAACAGUUUUCUCUUGAACAAUGAUAAUUGCAAGAGUAAAAUGCACCGUAGGUCCUACAACUAUACGGGGUGUGUCAAGUGAGUCCUAAUUCUAUCAAAGUGCAUAUUUGGAUCCUAAUUCUUUGUAAAUUGUUCACGCGUGGUCCUAAUCGAGCCUGAGCCGCUGCUGACCGGCCAGGUGGCAAGUUGACUGCCACGCUGGCUAACCGUGUCGAGUUGCUGGAAAAUGCAAAUAGGCCCAACCUUUCCAUUUUGCAAUUUCAAACGGGGUGGGGAGAAUCGGGGAAAGGACCUCGGGAUGAGUAAAAUUGAAAGAUUGGGCCUAUUUGCAAUUUUCAGCGGCCCGGCAAUUAGCCAGCGUGGAAGUCAACUUGCCACCUGGCCAGUCAGCAGUGGCUCGGGCUCGAUUAGGACCACACGUGAACAACUUACAAAGAAUUAGGGUCCAAAUAUGCACUUUGAUAGAAUUAGGACUCACUUGACACACCCCGAAUAGUUUUAGGACCUACGGUGCAUUUUACUCAUAAAGCAAGUACCACAUCAUGACCUAACAGCAAGAGGGGAAAGGAACAGCAUAUUUGCUUCAAAUAGCUUCAAAAACAGCAUUCGUAGAAAUGUAAUUGCAGCUCCAGCGCAUAUUUGUUAGAUAUUGUUUCCCAUAAUUCGUGCUAGCAUGCAAUGGUCAGAUUCUCUAAUGAAGAUUCACGAAAGAUUGGCUAUCCAAUAGACUAAUACUUACCUUAACAUCGAACAAGAAUCUUAUCAAAAAGCAAAGAAGCUUACUAUCACUUCCUACAACUUAUGGCCACAGUGUUCUAUUAAGUAUUAUUAACUCCAACACGAAUCACAUGUGAAUUCCCAUCACAGCACUAGCACCAGCAAAGCAAUAUCAUGAUGCAUGCUAACAGGCAAAGACACCUAGGAUAAAUCAAGUCUCUGCAAAUAUCUUACAUAUAAAGAAAUUUAUUUACAAAUGAUAAGUAACUUCUUAUAGAUGUGUGCACAAAGAACAUACGAGAAAACAAGACUGGGGAUAACUAAACUAAACUACACUAAAAAAAACUCUUGACGCAUUGCUUGAUUGAUAUGGGAUACACACUCAGAGGGGUAGAUAACUUCUUCUAAGAAACUAAUCCUAUUUUCGUAACUUCCGAGAUCUUAUAACUUAUUGGACAUCUCUUAUCCCCUAACUGGAUAACUACGGCAUAUGACUAAGCAUAGUAGGCCAGUUACCUGUUCGCCUCUUGUAAACAUUCUGAGCGUUCCCAACUUAGACAUUCAUGUCAUCAAUUUUCAGAUUUUAGUACUGACUGAAGGUGCUUUAUAAGUGAGAAACAAAACAUAUUGCUAAGAGACACAACUAUGAAUUCAUAAAUAUUUCCGUAAUAGUGUACAUAUAUGUAACAACCUGCUUAAUUUCAGGUGGAGCAGGAAUUUCAGGAGCUAAAUCAGCCCGUUCCUCUGGGUCGAUAUCCACAGCCUCAUCAUCAUCGGUGAAUGUUUCUUCGUGCUCCCAGUCAUC
rnacentral:lncRNA from 1 species